rnacentral:rRNA from 1 species
UUUAAUUGAAGAGUUUGAUCAUGGCUCAGAUUGAACGCUGGCGGCAGGCCUAACACAUGCAAGUCGAGCGGUAACAGAGAGUAGCUUGCUACUUUGCUGACGAGCGGCGGACGGGUGAGUAAUGCUUGGGAACAUGCCUUUAGGUGGGGGACAACAGUUGGAAACGACUGCUAAUACCGCAUAACGUCUACGGACCAAAGGGGGCUUCGGCUCUCGCCUAAAGAUUGGCCCAAGUGGGAUUAGCUAGUUGGUGAGGUAAUGGCUCACCAAGGCAACGAUCCCUAGCUGGUUUGAGAGGAUGAUCAGCCACACUGGAACUGAGACACGGUCCAGACUCCUACGGGAGGCAGCAGUGGGGAAUAUUGCACAAUGGGCGAAAGCCUGAUGCAGCCAUGCCGCGUGUGUGAAGAAGG